rnacentral:rRNA from 1 species
UACGUAGGGCGCAAGCGUUGUCCGGAAUUAUUGGGCGUAAAGAGCUUGUAGGCGGUUUGUCGCGUCUGCUGUGAAAGCCCGGGGCUUAACUCCGGGUCUGCAGUGGGUACGGGCAGGCUAGAGUGUGGUAGGGGAGACUGGAAUUCCUGGUGUAGCGGUGAAAUGCGCAGAUAUCAGGAGGAACACCGAUGGCGAAGGCAGGUCUCUGGGCCAUAACUGACGCUGAGAAGCGAAAGCAUGGGGAGCGAACAGG